rnacentral:rRNA from 1 species
UACGAAGGGGGCUAGCGUUGCUCGGAAUCACUGGGCGUAAAGCGCACGUAGGCGGCUUUCUAAGUCAGGGGUGAAAUCCUGGAGCUCAACUCCAGAACUGCCUUUGAUACUGGAGAGCUUGAGUCCGGAAGAGGUGAGUGGAACUCCGAGUGUAGAGGUGAAAUUCGUAGAUAUUCGGAAGAAUACCAGUGGCGAAGGCGGCUCACUGGUCCGGUACUGACGCUGAGGUGCGAAAGCGUGGGGAGCAAACAGG